AAGGCGGUAUCCGAAAAGCCUCGAAAAGAGUAGGAA
rfam:Chryseobacterium sp. IHB B 17019, complete genome.